rnacentral:misc_RNA from 1 species
GAUGAAGAACGUAGCGAAAUGCGAUAAGUAAUGUGAAUUGCAGAAUUCAGUGAACCAUCGAAUCUUUGAACGCACAUUGCGCCCGCCAGUAUUCUGGCGAGCAUGCCUGUUCGAGCGUCAUUUCAACCAUCAAGCCCCAGGCUUGUGUUGGAGCCCUGCGGCUGCCGCAGCCUCCCAAAACCAGUGGCGGGCUCGCUAUCACACCGAGUGCAGUAGUUUACUCUUCGCUCAGGGCGUGUGGCGGGUGCUAGCCGUGAAACCCCCAACUUCUCAAGGUUGACCUCGGAUCAGGUAGGAAUACCCGCUGAACUUAAGCAUAUCAAUAAGCGGAGGA